rnacentral:tRNA from 1 species
GCCAGCGCGGCAUAGUGGUUUGUGUGUUGGACUAUGACUCUGGAAACCAGGGUUCAAUUCCCUGCUUAGCCA